CAGCCGCCACGGUAAUACGUAGGUGGCAGGCGUUGUCCGGAAUUAUUGGGCGUAAAGGGCUCGCAGGCGGUUUCUUAAGUCUGAUGUGAAAGCCCCCGGCUCAACCGGGGAGGGUCAUUGGAAACUGGGAAACUUGAGUGCAGAAGAGGAGAGUGGAAUUCCACGUGUAGCGGUGAAAUGCGUAGAGAUGUGGAGGAACACCAGUGGCGAAGGCGACUCUCUGGUCUGUAACUGACGCUGAGGAGCGAAAGCGUGGGGAGCGAACAGGAUUAGAUACCCCAGUAGUCCCUGUCUCUUAUAC
rnacentral:rRNA from 1 species